rnacentral:rRNA from 1 species
GAUGAACGCUGGCGGCGUGCCUAAUACAUGCAAGUCGAGCGAACAGAUGAGGAGCUUGCUCCUCUGACGUUAGCGGCGGACGGGUGAGUAACACGUGGAUAACCUACCUAUAAGACUGGGAUAACUUCGGGAAACCGGAGCUAAUACCGGAUAAUAUAUUGAACCGCAUGGUUCAAUAGUGAAAGACGGUUUUGCUGUCACUUAUGGAUGGAUCCGCGCCGCAUUAGCUAGUUGGUAAGGUAACGGCUUACCAAGGCAACGAUGCGUAGCCGACCUGAGAGGGUGAUCGGCCACACUGGAACUGAGACACGGUCCAGACUCCUACGGGAGGCAGCAGUAGGGAAUCUUCCGCAAUGGGCGAAAGCCUGACGGAGCAACGCCGCGUGAGUGAUGAAGGUCUUCGGAUCGUAAAACUCUGUUAUUAGGGAAGAACAAAUGUGUAAGUAACUAUGCACGUCUUGACGGUACCUAAUCAGAAAGCCACGGCUAACUACGUG